rnacentral:lncRNA from 1 species
GCCAUCUAGUUUUGAUCCAUAAUAUUUGUCCGAGGUUCCAAUCGAAGUAACCAAUCCUGCAGGUCCAUUCUAUUUUUAAUUAAUUGGUUGGAUUUUUCUGGAUAGCUAGCACCAAGAGAUCAAGCUAAGUAUACCUCCUUCGAUCCGAGCUGAGUCUAUGCUAGGACUUUUCGUCCGAAAAUCUCAAGGAUUGAUUUUUAGGAUAUCUCUUUGGCUUAGUCUAGUUGGGACUUUUAUUUGUUUUUAAGGCUCUAGUUAAUCUUGGGGUUAUCUCACUACAAAAAAAUUGACAAUUAGCGACGGCUAAUUGUCGUCACUAAUUGUCAGUUUAUCGUCACUAAUAGCAUUAGCGAUGGAAUGCCGCUGCUAAAAAUUCAAUGAAAAUAAUUUCAUCGUUAAUUAUCAUUAUUAGCGAUGGCAAAAUCUUCAUUGCUAAUAAUGAUAAUUAGCAACGAUAU